rnacentral:rRNA from 1 species
GAACGCUAGCGGCAGGCCUAAUACAUGCAAGUCGAGGGGCAGCACGGUAGCAAUACUGGUGGCGACCGGCGCACGGGUGCGUAACACGUAUACAAUCUGCCUUUAACUGGGGCAUAACCUUUCGAAAGAGAGACUAAUACCCCAUAAUAGUAGAGAAGGCAUCUUCUUUAUUUGAAAGCUCCGGCGGUUAAAGAUGAGUAUGCGGAUGAUUAGCUAGAUGGUGAGGUAACGGCUCACCAUGGCGACGAUCAAUAGGGGAUCUGAGAGGACUACCCCCCACACUGGUACUGAGACACGGACCAGACUCCUACGGGAGGCAGCAGUAAGGAAUAUUGGACAAUGCUCGCAAGAGUGAUCCAGCCAUGCCGCGUGCAGGAAGACGGCCCUAUGGGUUGUAAACUGCUUUUGAACUAGAGAAAACCCCCUUCGUGAAGGGGGCUGAUAGUAUAGUUAGAAUAAGCAUCGGCUAACUUCGUGCCAGCAGCCGCGGUAAGACGG